UGAUCGAUAUAGAAUCCUACUAAAACAUUAGGCACUACCCAAAGUUUCUAUGAGCUUUACAAUAUAGUAAUGUGUGCAUAUGCAUAACAAACUUCCCACGUUAGAGUUGACACUUUUUUAUUCCUGUUGAGCCUAUUGGUGAUUGUGUGGUAUCAAUUUUUUCAUUUGUUUUACUUGUAGCAACACACAGCUAUUGAACUAGAUUGUUUUGAUUUCACAUCAAAACAUGUUUCAAAAAGAGCGAUAACUGGCCACAAAUCUAUUGUUGUAAACUUCAUGCUCAAGAAUCAUUUGUAAGAAUAGACAACACAUUCCAAACUUAAAUCAUCGAGGUAUAUUUUUUGUUUACAUUGCAUUGUUCCCGUUGCAACGCACGGGCAUGAUCCUAGCUAGUGAGUCAAAUUACUGUUUCUCAAAAAAAAAUUGUGUCAAAUUACUAAAUGGUAAUGGAACUAAAUAUUUCCAUCAAUGUGCUACUGUGUCUUUUCUUGAGGGGUGGGGGGACUCGGGUUCCCAUAAAAGGGCAAUGAGGAAGAGAAACACCAUAUCAGCAUCAUCCUGAAUUCCUGAGUAGUAUGAGCUAGCUCUUGCUUCAGCUUCGUUGUUUUGGUCCAACUUACAUAAACAUAUCGAUAUUUUCCUGUAGACCUCUCUACUCUGUUUCUAUAGUACACCUGGGAGGCGCCGCCAGGAAUGUUCUGGUUAUGGUGGAGAAUGGUUGUGCAUGGAGCCUGUGGGAAUGAGGAUGAUCCAACAAGGAAAAGUACUGUUGCUGCAGUACAGAUCAUCUAAAGCCUGGUAGCUAGGUUCAGAGUUUAUGCAUGACAUGUACGUGCACUUGGAGUGGGGCUAGGAUAAUAGCAUGCAUAUCUAUUUGGUUAAAUCCAAUCUAGUUGAAUAACAAUCUAGCAUCCUAUCUUAUCUUGAAACUAAACCAAACAAAGUAAUUAAAAAUGAACUCACGUGCGCAUUAUUCUUUGUCUGAAUUUGAGUGGAUGGUACACCCAUGC
rnacentral:lncRNA from 1 species